AUUGAACGCUGGCGGCAUGCCUUACACAUGCAAGUCGAGCGGCAGCGCGGGGGCAACCCUGGCGGCGAGCGGCGAACGGGUGAGUAAUGCAUCGGAACGUGUCCUUUUGUGGGGGAUAACCAGUCGAAAGACUGGCUAAUACCGCAUGAGCUCGAGAGAGGAAAGCAGGGGACCCGAGGGUAACUUCGGGCCUUGCGCGAGAGGAGCGGCCGAUGCCCGAUUAGCAGUUGGUGAGGUAACGGCUCACCAAGGCGACGAUCGGUAGCUGGUUUGAGAGAACGACCAGCCACACUGGGACUGAGACACGGCCCAGACUCCUACGGGAGGCAGCAGUGGGAAUUUUGGACAAUGGGGGCAACCCUGAUCCAGCCAUGCCGCGUGUGUGAAGAAGGCCU
rnacentral:rRNA from 1 species